GGCAGAGAGAGCCCGGUUCCCGUGUCCUGUCAGGUAGCUUAUCUAUCUGUUGGACAUGAGGAAAGUCCCCCCACCGUCCGGACGGGUGACCGGGCGCAAGCCCGGAGUCGGAGACGACUGGCUCUGGAACAGAAACGAGACCUCUCGGUCCGACCGAUGAGACGCGUGCGGCGGAUUCAUCCGCCGCCGACGCGAACGGGGUCACCCGUUUGCGUGCGAACCGACCCGUAAGGGAAGGGAGUUGACCCGUCGAGGGGAGCGCGCCCACAAUGUGGCGCGUCUGGCGAACGGUAUAUCCGUUUGCUCCGGGGUGACGGCAGUUGCCUCGGCCGCGACUGAACGCCUCGCGUUCGGUCGUAGACGACCGAGAACGGAUGGAACGGCGAAUCCUCACCGGUGCAAGUCCGCGCCGCUAAGGUAGUCCGGACAGCACGUUCGGGUUCGCCCGGCGUGCCCCCAAUUUUGGGGAGGACGCGGACGCUCAGCCGAAUGCCGGGUCGAAACAGAAGGGGGCUUACUCCUCUCAGCC
rnacentral:RNase_P_RNA from 1 species